AACUUUUAGCAAUGGAUCACUUGGCUCUCGCAUCGAUGAAGAACGCAGAGAAAUGCGAUACGUAAUGUGAAUUGCAGAAUUCAGUGAAUCAUCGAAUCUUUGAACGCAUAUUGCGCACUUUGGUAUUCCGAAGAGCAUGCUUGUUUGAGUAUCAGUAAACACCUCAACCUCAUCUUGUUUUUUCAAAAGGAGGGUGGACUUGAGCUAACCCAACAACCUUCACCGGUAGGCGGGCGGCUUGAAAUGCAGGUGCAGCUGGACUUUUAUCUUAGCUAUAUGCAUAUCUAUUUAGUCGUCGUCAAACAGGAUUAUUACUAUUGCUGCAGCUAACAUAAAGGAUAAUUGUCCUCAUUGCUGACUGAUGCAGCAUUUUACGACACUUUAUGUGUUGUUCAACUCGAUCUCAAAUCAAGUAAGACUACCCGCUGAACUUAAGCAUAUCAAUAAGCGGAGGCU
rnacentral:misc_RNA from 1 species